rnacentral:rRNA from 1 species
UCAAGCGACUAAGUGCAUGUGGUGGAUGCCUUGGCGAUCACAGGCGAUGAAGGACGCGGCAGUCUGCGAAAAGCCCCGGGGAGCUGACAACGAGCUUUGAUCCGGGGAUCUCCGAAUGAGGGAACUCCAAGCUUUAGCUUGAUCCAUGCGUGAAUACAUAGCGCAUGGAGGCGAACGCGGCGAACUGAAACAUCUCAGUAGCUGCAGGAAAAGAAAUCAACCGAGAUUCCGGAAGUAGCGGCGAGCGAAACCGGAACAGCCUGAAUUCGAUAUUGAGAAGAACACUGGAAGAGUCUGGAAAGGCUCGCCAUAGUGGGUGAUAGCCCCGUACGGGACGUUCAUCUCAAGGUACUGAGGAUUCGAAAAGUAGGUCGGGGCACGUGAAACCCUGGCUGAACAUGGGGGGACCAUCCUCCAAGGCUAAAUACUCGUGAUCGACCGAUAGCGUACUAGUACUGUGAAGGAAAGGUUAAAAGAACCCCGGGAGGGGAGUGAAAUAGAUUCUGAAACCGCAUGCAUACAAACAGUAGGAGCCCUUCGGGGUGACUGCGUACCUUUUGCAUAAUGGGUCAGCGACUUAUGUUAUGUGGCAAGCCUAACCGACUAGGGGAGGCGCAGCGAAAGCGAGUCCGAACAGGGCGAUUCAGUCGCAUGGCAUAGACCCGAAACCAGAUGAGCUAACCAUGGCCAGGCUGAAGGUGUGGUAACACACACUGGAGGGCCGAACCUACUGGUGUUGCAAAACCAGAGGAUGAGCUGUGGUUAGGGGUGAAAGGCUUAACAAAUCUGGAGAUAGCUGGUUCUCCCCGAAAACUAUUGAGGUAGUGCCUUGCGCAUGAGCUUCUGGGGGUAGAGCACUGUUAUAGCUAGGGGGACAUGGCGUCUUACCAAACUAUGGCAAACUCCGAAUACCAGAAAGCUUCGCGCAGGAGACAGAGCACCGGGUGCUAACGUCCGGACUCAAAAGGGAAUCAACCCAGACCGCCAGCUAAGGUCCCUAAUAUCAGCUAAGUGGAAAACGAAGUGGAAAGGCUAAAACAGUCAGGAAGUUGGCUUAGAAGCAGCCAUCCUUCAAAGAAAGCGUAAUAGCUCACUGAUCGAGUCCUUCCGCGCGGAAGAUGUAACGGGGCUAAGUUGAUAACCGAAGCUGCGGAUUCACACUUUGAGUGUGAGUGGUAGGGGAGCGUUCUGUAAGCCUGCGAAGGUGGAUCGUAAGGUCUGCUGGAGGUAUCAGAAGUGCGAAUGCUGACAUGAGUAACGAUAAAGCGGGUGAAAAGCCCGCUCGCCGCAAACCCAAGGUUUCCUGCUCUACGUUAAUCGGAGCAGGGUGAGUCGGUUCCUAAGGCCAGGCUGAGAAGCGUAGCUGAUGGAAAUCAGGUUAAUAUUCCUGAACCGGCGUUGAAUGCGAUGGGGUGACGGAGCAGCCAGAGUGGACCGGGUGUUGGAUGUCCCGGCUUCCGAGCGAUGGGUGCCUGCAGGCAAAUCCGCAGGCGUAUACCCAGGACGAAGGAUCGGGUCUUCUUUUGAAGACGAAGCCACUGGAAGCGCUUCCAGGAAAAACCUCUAAGCUUCAGUUCAACGGCGACCGUACCGUAAACCGACACAGGUGGGUGAGCUGAAUAUGCUCAGGCGCUUGAGAGAACUCGGGAGAAGGAACUCGGCAAAUUGACACCGUAACUUCGGAAGAAGGUGUGCCUUUGUAGCUUGACGGGAGAGAAACCCGGAGGGCGAAGAGGUCUCAGAGAAUCGGUGGCUGUAACUGUUUACUAAAAACACAGCGCUCUGCAAAGAUGAAAGUCGACGUAUAGGGCGUGAUGCCUGCCCGGUGCUGGAAGAUUAAUUGAUGGGGUGCAAGCUCCUGAUCGAAGUCCCAGUAAACGGCGGCCGUAACUAUAACGGUCCUAAGGUAGCGAAAUUCCUUGUCGGGCAAGUUCCGACCUGCACGAAUGGCAUAAUAAUGGCCACACUGUCUCCUCCCGAGACUCAGUGAAAUUGAAAUGUUUGUGAUGAUGCAAUCUCCCCGCGGCUAGACGGAAAGACCCCAUGAACCUUAACUGUAGCUUUGCAUUGGACUUUGAACCGAUCUGUGUAGGAUAGGCGGGAGGCUUUGAAGAAUGGACGCCAGUUCAUUCGGAGCCGUCGUUGAAAUACCGCCCUGAUUUGUUUGAGGUUCUAACCUGGGCCAGUGAUCCUGGCUGGGGACCGUGCAUG